CCUACGGGUGGCAGCAGUGAGGAAUAUUGGUCAAUGGGCUUACGCCUGAACCAGCCAAGUCGCGUGAGGGAAGACUGCCCUAUGGGUUGUAAACCUCUUUUGUCAGGGAGCAAUUGGCGCUACGUGUAGCGUUAUCGAGAGUACCUGAAGAAAAAGCAUCGGUUAACUCCGUGCCAGCAGCCGCGGUAAUACGGAGGGGGCAAGCGUUAUCCGGAUUUACUGGGUGUAAAGGGAGCGUAGACGGUGGGCCAAGGCUGGAGUGAAAUGCCGCAGCUUAACUGCGGAACUGCUUUGGAAACUGGCGAGCUAGAGUGGGGGAGAGGUAAGCGGAAUGCGUAGUGUAGCGGUGAAAUGCGUAGAUAUUAGGAGGAACACCGGUGGCGAAGGCGGCUUACUGGCCCGUAACUGACGUUGAGGCACGAAAGCGUGGGGAGCAAACAGGAUUAGAUACCCUUGUAGUC
rnacentral:rRNA from 1 species